CAAGUUUUCACUGUGUUGCAGGACAGUUGUAAAGCCUGUAUUACAUCCCUGAACACCGGUGGAUUUACUAACAUGUGCCACCCAACUGCUGAAGUAUCCUCAAGGGACCUCUACCUGGAAACUGCAGCAGGUACUCUGCACUGGAGCAACAUGCUGUGUCUCUCCAUAAGGAAGGAGAGGUUCCUGCGGGGGGCAUUUUUCCCCUUUUCCCACGUGAACCACACCAACUUCUUAUCCUGACUCCAAGAACCAGACCGGUUUCCAGCAGCCAGCUGGAACUCAACCAGACAGUAAAUCCCAGGGAAUUGCCAGAGACACUUUUUAGGCAUAAAUCCCUCAUUUCAGUUCACAGACCUCCUCAUCUUCCCUGUGCCCUGUGCUCACAACCACCUGCUCAUGCUCUUGUGAAUGGCACCCACUGUCAAGAUGCACUUAACAAAACCAGUUGUGCUCAGGGAAACUGCUCUAGGUGCACAGUUUGUCCUCCUGUUGUACAGGUGCUUUGGUACCAACAGUACUUUAGGUGCCCCCAAGCUGUCUGUGUGUUCCCAGUGAUCCUAAAUUGUCUAAAGCGAAAAAUACAUCUGCUUCUGAACUACAACUUGCUGGCGCCUUUAGACAAUAGUUCCUCUGACACCAGGCAUGAAACUAUUCUGAGCAUAUCCUACAAACUGUGGAGAAUGUGGAGCUCAUGCUUUGUCCCAAAUGAUGAGCCCAGGUGUAGGCAUCAGCUUUUUCUUGUGUCUCAUCUAAGUCUCCUUUGCUGUGCUACAGCCAGUGCAACUCCUCCUGGUGCAGGGGGUGGCUGUCACUCCCCUCAUUUACAUACAGGUGGGCUGUUCUCCAUCCAUACCUGGCCCUGCUUAAGGGGUGCUUGCUGUUUAUUACCUGGUCCUCAUCUCCUCUGCUACCUCUCAGCUCAAGUUCCAUCAUUUUCUGGUGGGCAGAUGCCCUGCAUCAUAUUCCUCCCUCUAUCCCAGUCAUCCUGUUCUGCUUGGAGCACUGCCCUGGGCUGCUCAGAAGCACUGAUUCAGCUGGAUACUUCUCCUUUUUCCAGAUAAAAAGCUGCUGCCCAAAGCGCUAUCCUUCAGCCGUGCCUGAAAAAAAUCAAAGCGUGGAAGGAGUUUGAAUG
rnacentral:lncRNA from 1 species